rnacentral:rRNA from 1 species
UACGAAGGGGGGCUAGCGUUGUUCGGAUUUACUGGGCGUAAAGCGCACGUAGGCGGAUCGUUAAGUCGGGGGUGAAAUCCUGGAGCUCAACUCCAGAACUGCCUUCGAUACUGGCGAUCUUGAGUCCGGAAGAGGUGAGUGGAACUCCUAGUGUAGAGGUGGAAUUCGUAGAUAUUAGGGAAGAACACCAGUGGCGAAGGCGGCUCACUGGUCCGGUACUGACGCUGAC